CAGUCGCCACGGGAAUACGUAGGGUCCGAGCGUUGUCCGGAAUUAUUGGGCGUAAAGGGCUCGCAGGCGGUUUCUUAAGUCUGAUGUGAAAGCCCCGGGCUCAACCUGGGAAUUGCUUUUGAUACUGUGUUGCUUGAGUUCGGGAGAGGUGAGUGGAAUUCCCAGUGUAAAGGUGAAAUUCGUAGAUAUUGGGAAGAACACCGGUGGCGAAGGCGGCGACCUGGUCCUUGACUGACGCUGAGGCGCGAAAGCGUGGGGAGCGAACAGGAUUAGAUACCCCAGUAGUCCCUGUCUCUUAUAC
rnacentral:rRNA from 1 species